AACGUAGGUGACGAGCGUUAUCCGGAUUUACUGGGCGUAAAGCGUGUGCAGGCGGGGUAGCAAGUGGUGUAUGAAAUCUCCAGGCUCAACCUGGAGGGGUUAUGCCAGACUGCUAUGCUAGAGCGUGGGAGAGGGACGUGGAAUUCCGGGUGUAGUGGUGAAAUGCGUAGAGAUCCGGAGGAACACCAGAGGCGAAGGCGGCGUCCUGGCCCACAGCUGACGCUCAGACACGACAGCAUGGGGAGCGAACGGG
rnacentral:rRNA from 1 species